ensembl:lncRNA
GGCAAUGGGGGCCGGGAUGUGGCAGGCUGCGCUCAGCAUUGCCUGGCAGCAGCAGGGAUUAGAGCUCAGCCCAGAGAUUGUGCUGGGGAUGUGAGAAGGUGCUUUGAAAUUAGUCCGAGUCCGAUGCCUUUUGAUCUAAAGAGGAUUUCGAGGGGAGCGAGAACACCCAGCCCUCCUCAUGCCAGGAGCUGCUGCCUCCCUUCAGCUCAAUCCUGGGGGUGCAGCAUCCCGGGGUGGGGGUCCCCAGCUCCAGCAGUGACAGCGUCUGUACAAACACACUGCUUUUAAGGCCAUUGCUGCCAGGAGUGGGGGCAUUACUCACAGAUGCCCCCCAUGGUGCACCCUGCGUGGCUGAAAAGGGAGUGUGGAGAGAAUCCCUCCUGCAUCCCAGGGACCCGCAGCUCUCCGGAGCAUUCGUGUAAUGUGGGAGCCCACUGCAGAGCGUGGCUGUUAGCACAGAGCUCGUCCUGCAGAACCUUCACUCAGGCCUAUUGGAAGCAAAGCGAAAGCAUGAAUGUGAUGCACAUAAUGCAGUGUUGAGCAAAGUGCAUACGUGAAAUGGAAGGAGCAGCCGUGUGUGGUGGCAUGGAAAGAGCGGUGGGGACGGACAGAGAGCCCAUCAGUCACACUUGCUAGAGAGAAGGGCUUUUCCACAGCUAGCAGGACUUGAAGCACCGUUCGGUCUAUGAGGCAAGAAAAUCCCUGCAAAGCAAACCGUGCUGCCUUAGCAGCCAAACACAAUGACAGCCUCGGUCAGCACAGAAGCUCUUUAACUCCAGUGCAGGGGCUCAGCACCAGCAGAACCAGCAGCACCUGGGCCAACGAGGCUCUCAGCCAUCCAUCCCCACCUGUGCUCCCCUCCCAGGUGGGGUCAAUUUGGCACUGAUGGCCGGGAACCCUCAGCAUCCAACCUGCUGGGCAGGCACUGCAGCUUGGUUGGGUUGGAGGUGAUUUAAGGGCAGGGAAAGAGCCUGGGCUGCCUGUUUGUGCCUCCUGGAGAUGCUCGUCCUCUGCAAGCACUGAUGUCAGCAGAGAGCAUUAAAUCCAAGAGGAUUUGCAGUUGAAGUGAAUUUCAUAUCCCAGUUUCCCCACUCAAGAAAUAGAGUGCCGCAUCCAAGCAGCGUCAGGAACAGUUAUGGGGAAGAAGAGAGAGCAGAAACUUGCAGUCUGCACAGAAGAAGAAACGCAAAGUCUUUGGUGCGAAGGGAAGAGGCGUAUCUCCCUGGAGAAUAUGAUAAUUUAUAAUGAAACAUUAUCUUACAGACCCAUAUGUUACGUUUUCUAUUUAUGGCUAAUUUGCUUAAGCAUUUCUAAUGUGCGCCCCAGGGGAGGGCGGUUUGUCUCUGGGCAGCUGGCUAGCGGGGAGGGAAGGAACGCAACGCUUCCAUCCGAGCACGCCGGCAGGCUGGGAACCAACAGCAUCCACCAGCAACGCCGCCUUGGGUUGGAGCCAGGAGAGCGUGAGUGAAGAUGAUGAAUGCUCCUUUCAGCCUUGCUGGCGAGGCUGAGGAGAUCCUGGGGUACGAAGAUGAGAGUCGAUACUCGG